rnacentral:precursor_RNA from 8 species
CCGAUUUUCUGUCUCAAGGUUUCUCCCUGCAACAAUCUCCUGAUGCUGCCUGAGUGUUUUUCUUCCACUCCAGCAUCAGUGAUUUUGUUGCCGGAGGUCACCACACAUCUUCCAGCUACUU